UACAGAGGUCUCAAGCGUUGUUCGGAUUCAUUGGGCGUAAAGGGUGCGUAGGCGGCGCGGUAAGUCGGGUGUGAAAUCUCGGAGCUUAACUCCGAAACUGCAUUCGAUACUGCCGUGCUUGAGGACUGGAGAGGAGACUGGAAUUACGGUGUAGCGGUGAAAUGCGUAGAUAUCGUAAGGAAGACCAGUGGCGAAGGCGGGUCUCUGGACAGUUCCUGACGCUGAGGCACGAAGGUCAGGGGAGCAAACAGG
rnacentral:rRNA from 1 species